CACGUAGGCACCAAGCGUUGUCCGGAUUUAUUGGGCGUAAAGAGCUCGUAGGCGGUUCGGUAAGUCGGGUGUGAAAACUUUGGGCUCAACCCAAAGCGUGCACUCGAUACUGCCGUGACUAGAGUUCGGUAGGGGAGUGGGGAAUUCCUAGUGUAGCGGUGAAAUGCGCAGAUAUUAGGAGGAACACCGGUGGCGAAGGCGCCACUCUGGGCCGAAACUGACGCUGAGGAGCGAAAGCGUGGGUAGCAAA
rnacentral:rRNA from 1 species